GCCGUGCCACAUCCACGCCCACGUCAGGUCGAGCCCCUGUUCAUGUCCGGCUGUCCCAUGUCCCCCGCUACAUCGAGCUCCGUCCAAGUCAGGCCAAGCCCAGCCAAAGGGUCGCCGUCGCUUUUGUUCCUGUUCUCCAGCGAGGCAAGGGUUGCCGUCGCUUUUAGUUCCCGUUCCCCGGCGAG